rnacentral:rRNA from 1 species
AGCGAACGCUGGCGGCAGGCUUAACACAUGCAAGUCGAACGCCCCGCAAGGGGAGUGGCAGACGGGUGAGUAACACGUGGGAACGUACCCUUUGGUUCGGAAUAACUUGGGGAAACUCAAGCUAAAACCGGAUAAGCCCUUAUGGGGAAAGGUUUACUGCCGAAGGAUCGGCCCGCGUCUGAUUAGCUAGUUGGUGAGGUAAUGGCUCGCCAAGGCGACGAUCAGUAGCUGGUCUGAGAGGAUGAUCAGCCACACUGGGACUGAGACACGGCCCAGACUCCUACGGGAGGCAGCAGUGGGAAAUAUUGGACAAUGGGGGCAACCCUGAUCCAGCCAUGCCGCGUGAGUGAUGAAGGCCUUAGGGUUGUAAAGCUCUUUUACCGGGGACGAUAAUGACUGUACCGGGAGAAUAAGCCCCGGCUAACUUCGUGCCAGCCGCCGCGGUAA